CGAAUUCGCCCUUAGAGUUUGAUCAUGGCUCAGGAUGAACGCUGGCGGCGUGCCUAAUACAUGCAAGUCGAGCGAACGGACGAGAAGCUUGCUUCUCUGAUGUUAGCGGCGGACGGGUGAGUAACACGUGGAUAACCUACCUAUAAGACUGGGAUAACUUCGGGAAACCGGAGCUAAUACCGGAUAAUAUUUUGAACCGCAUGGUUCAAAAGUAAAAGACGGUCUUGCUGUCACUUAUAGAUGGAUCCGCGCUGCAUUAGCUAGUUGGUAAGGUAACGGCUUACCAAGGCAACGAUGCAUAGCCGACCUGAGAGGGUGAUCGGCCACACUGGAACUGAGACACGGUCCAGACUCCUACGGGAGGCAGCAGUAGGGAAUCUUCCGCAAUGGGCGAAAGCCUGACGGAGCAACGCCGCGUGAGUGAUGAAGGUCUUCGGAUCGUAAAACUCUGUUAUUAGGGAAGAACAUAUGUGUAAGUAACUGUGCACAUCUUGACGGUACCUAAUCAGAAAGCCACGGCUAACUACGUGCCAGCAGCCGCGGUAAUACGUAGGUGGCAAGCGUUAUCCGGAAUUAUUGGGCGUAAAGCGCGCGUAGGCGGUUUUUUAAGUCUGAUGUGAAAGCCCACGGCUCAACCGUGGAGGGUCAUUGGAAACUGGAAAACUUGAGUGCAGAAGAGGAAAGUGGAAUUCCAUGUGUAGCGGUGAAAUGCGCAGAGAUAUGGAGGAACACCAGUGGCGAAGGCGACUUUCUGGUCUGUAACUGACGCUGAUGUGCGAAAGCGUGGGGAUCAAACAGGAUUAGAUACCCUGGUAGUCCACGCCGUAAACGAUGAGUGCUAAGUGUUAGGGGGUUUCCGCCCCUUAGUGCUGCAGCUAACGCAUUAAGCACUCCGCCUGGGGAGUACGACCGCAAGGUUGAAACUCAAAGGAAUUGACGGGGACCCGCACAAGCGGUGGAGCAUGUGGUUUAAUUCGAAGCAACGCGAAGAACCUUACCAAAUCUUGACAUCCUUUGACAACUCUAGAGAUAGAGCCUUCCCCUUCGGGGGACAAAGUGACAGGUGGUGCAUGGUUGUCGUCAGCUCGUGUCGUGAGAUGUUGGGUUAAGUCCCGCAACGAGCGCAACCCUUAAGCUUAGUUGCCAUCAUUAAGUUGGGCACUCUAAGUUGACUGCCGGUGACAAACCGGAGGAAGGUGGGGAUGACGUCAAAUCAUCAUGCCCCUUAUGAUUUGGGCUACACACGUGCUACAAUGGACAAUACAAAGGGCAGCGAAACCGCGAGGUCAAGCAAAUCCCAUAAAGUUGUUCUCAGUUCGGAUUGUAGUCUGCAACUCGACUACAUGAAGCUGGAAUCGCUAGUAAUCGUAGAUCAGCAUGCUACGGUGAAUACGUUCCCGGGUCUUGUACACACCGCCCGUCACACCACGAGAGUUUGUAACACCCGAAGCCGGUGGAGUAACCUUUUAGGAGCUAGCCGUCGAAGGUGGGACAAAUGAUUGGGGUGAAGUCGUAACAAGGUAACAAGGGCGAAUU
rnacentral:rRNA from 1 species